rnacentral:rRNA from 1 species
UACGUAGGGGGCAAGCGUUGUCCGGAAUUAUUGGGCGUAAAGAGCGUGUAGGCGGCCAGAUAAGUCCGCUGUGAAAUCUCGAGGCUCAACUUCGAGCUGUCGGUGGAAACUAUCUGGCUAGAGUCCGGAAGAGGAGAAUGGAAUUCCUGGUGUAGCGGUGAAAUGCGCAGAUAUCAGGAAGAACACCCGUGGCGAAGGCGGUUCUCUGGGACGGUACUGACGCUGAGACGCAAAAGCGUGGGGAGCGAACAGG